GCGUCCUCACCACAGAGUAAGGGACACUCGUUGCCAUCUGUUCAGCCUUUCAGAGACAUGAAUUUGUAUGGCUGCACUGUGACAUUCCUUCCCCUUGGUAUCUUUGCUCAGGACAUCUGCUUUCAAGUCAUUCUAAACCAGAGCAUUGGUUCAGAGAUGAGAAAAAUGAAGCUUAGAAAGGUUAUGCAACUUGGAAGUAAGUGGAAAAGGUGGAACUCAAUGCCCCAAACUUUGUGAUGCCGUUCAGCGCCCUCCUAAUCAUCAUAAUACUGCCUUUCAUGUUUCCAAUCAUUCUACUCUGGACAAUUAAGUGGCUUUACACCAACAGUCUACAACAGCUUGCCCCGGCCUGAUCCUGUACUCUCCGGGUGACAAAGGCUCAGCUGAACGGCAGCCAGCUCUGGGACUCAGCACCAGCACCCGGAAGACCAAUCAGUGCCAGAAGCUCUUUUUCAUCAUCUGAAAAAUGCCUCCAAAUCCACUUCCCCUUUGCCAUUGCCUCCCUCUCCUUAUUGCAGAAGAGGAUAGCUUUGUUCCCACACAUUUCUCUCUCUUGCACAUGCACCAUAUAUAUAUAUUUGAAGAAGCUAUCAAAUCCACAAGCUAUGAAGCAGAGUCUUUGAUAGAAAGCGUGAUCUCCAAGAGACUUUGAGGGGGAAAAACCCCAUAAACCAAACUGAAUCUGGCUUUCCAAAGCAAUGAUUUCCUUCUUCAAAGGCAAAAAAGAGAAAAAAAGUUUUGGACUUUCUAAAACUUCAGGGUAUUGUCUCUGAAAUCAAAUUAGACAUUGUGGCCCAGCUGAACACUUAAGCUUAGUCUGGGACAGAGUGGCCAAUCACGACAUCUUGGGGCCUGCAGCCAUUGGCACCCGAGCGUUCCAUUCAGCUGUGAAACUUGUCAGUGGAACUUAUCUGACCUUUAGCUGGUAAGCCGGAAUUGCUUACCAUCUCGCUUCCACUAGACUAAUAGCACUUUUCAGCGCAGCUCAGGUUAUCACUUGACAUCCCUGAAAUCUAUUUCUAAGGGAAAAUGGAAGUCUAAUUGGGGAAAAAUCAAUUUUUAAUGAAACAAAGUUCCCAAAAAACUUAAUGUCAGAUUUUAUUAUGCCAUCUGCAUUCACCUGUUAACACUGGGGCUAAGGCACCUCAUGAAAGUAAAACAUAUAUGUGUCUUCUCUAUAAUUUCUAGGCACUCUGGACAUAAUUGUAUAAGAAAUUGUGGAGGGAGUGCCAAAAUAUCUCCGCCAUACACUGACUAUUUCGUUUGGUCUCUCUAUUUUUUUUUUUAACAUGUGAAAUGAAGUUGGUAGACUAAAUAAUAUUUAAGCUCUCAACACUCACCAAUUUCUGUAUUAACCUAAAAGACCUUAAUAGUUUGUAACUAUAGGUAUUUCAGCGCAGAUACUUUAUAUGCUACAGGAAAUUGGAAUCUCUCCCACACUAAAUGUAUUUCCAAUAAAAGCAGGCCUCUGGACUCCUGUCAUAACACCAGUAA